ACGGGAGGCAGCAGUGAGGAAUAUUGGUCAAUGGGCGGAAGCCUGAACCAGCCAAGUCGCGUGAGGGAAGAAGGUCCUACGGAUUGUAAACCUCUUUAGCCGGGGAGCAAUAAGCGCUAUGUAUAGCGUGAUGAGAGUACCCGGAGAAUAAGGAUCGGCUAACUCCGUGCCAGCAGCCGCGGUAAUACGGAGGAUCCGAGCGUUAUCCGGAUUUAUUGGGUUUAAAGGGUGCGCAGGCGGCUUUCUAAGUCAGUGGUUAAAUCGUGACGCUCAACGUCAUCACGCCAUUGAUACUGGAGAGCUUGAUUGCGGUCGAGGUUUGCGGAAUUCGUCGUGUAGCGGUGAAAUGCAUAGAUAUGACGAAGAACACCGAUUGCGUAGGCAGCAGACCAGGCCGUAAAUGACGCUCAUGCACGAAAGUGCGGGGAUCGAACAGGAUUAGAUACCCUGGUA
rnacentral:rRNA from 1 species